CCUACGGGAGGCAGCAGUGGGGAAUAUUGGGCAAUGGGCGCAAGCCUGACCCAGCAACGCCGCGUGAAGGAAGAAGGCUUUCGGGUUGUAAACUUCUUUUCUCAGGGACGAAGGAAGUGACGUUACCUGAGGAAUAAGCCACGGCUAACUACGGGCCAGCAGCCGCGGUAAUACGUAGGUUGCAAGCGUUAACCGGAUUUACUGGGGGGACAGGGCGUGUAGGCGGGACUGCAAGUCAGAUGUGAAAACCAUGGGCUCAACCUGUGAACUGCAUUUGAAACUGUGGGUCUUGAGUACUGGAGAGGCAGACGGAAUUCCUAGUGUAGCGGUGAAAUGCGUAGAUAUGAGGAGGAACACCAGUGGCGAAGGCGGUCUGCUGGACAGCAACUGACGCUGAUGCGCGAAAGCGUGGGGAGCAAACAGGAUUAGAUACCCCAGUAGUC
rnacentral:rRNA from 1 species